rnacentral:rRNA from 1 species
AGAGUUUGAUCCUGGCUCAGGAUAAACGCUGGCGGCGUGCCUAACACAUGCGAGUCGAACGCUCUGCGAAAGCAGGGAGUGGCGGACGGGUGAGUAGCACAUGGGAAUCGACCCACACGUGAGGAAUACCCUCGGGAAACCGGGGACAAGACCGCAUAGCCUCUGUCUCUUAACAAGAGGGAGAGGAAAGCCUUUUUUCGGAGAGGCGCUUGGAGAGGGGCCUGUGGCCGAUUAGCUAGCUGGUGGGGUAAAGGCUCACCAGGGCGAUGAUCGGUAGCUGGUCUGAGAGGACGAGCAGCCACACUGGGAUUGAGAACGGCCCAGACUCCUACGGGGGGCAGCAGUGAGGAAUUUUCCGCAAUGGGCGCAAGCCUGACGGAGCAACGCCGCGUGCAGGAGGACGGCCUUCGGGUUGUAAACUGCUUUUCUGGGGGACGAGAUUUGGACGGUACCCCAGGAAGAAGCCCCGGCUAACUACGUGCCAGCAGCCGCGGUAAUACGUAGGGGGCGAGCGUUGUCCGGAGUUACUGGGCGUAAAGCGCCCGCAGGCGGUUCUGCGCGUUGGCGGUGCCAGCCCUCUGCUUAACGGGGGGAGCGCCGGCAAGACGGCAGGACUCGAGGGCCUCAGAGGGACCUGGAAUUCCGGGUGGAGUGGUGAAAUGCGUAGAGAUCCGGAGGAACACCAAAGGCGCAGGCAGGGUCCUGGGAGGCAACUGACGCUGAGGGGCGAAAGCCAGGGGAGCGAACGGGAUUAGAUACCCCGGUAGUCCUGGCCGUAAACGAUGACCAUUAGGCGUGUGGGGUAUCGACCCCCUGCGUGCCGACGUUAACACAUGAAAUGGUCCGCCUGGGGAGUACGGUCGCAAGAUUAAAACUCAAAGGAAUUGACGG